rnacentral:lncRNA from 1 species
UUUAUGUUUUUGAGUCAGUUUAGAGGUUAUUAGCAAGCCCUCCUAAUCCCCAGUCUAGAACGGUCCCUACUUAUACUUGUACUACAAUUGUCAAAAGAUGGUUAAAUUUGUGUGUUAAGAUAAUUUUCGCAUCAAUCUCCCUCCUAUAAUUGAACAUUUUAUUAUUUGCAGUAGGUUUUUAAUCUCAAUGAACACAUCAGGUAUUCUCUUCUCUAUCAUUAGAAGGAACAUAAUUACUAGAAGAAAAAAAAAUUGCACAAUUUGGAUUGGCUU